rnacentral:misc_RNA from 1 species
CGCAUAUUGCGCCCCUUGGUAUUCCGAGGGGCAUGCCUGUUCGAGCGUCAUUAUCACCCCUCAAGCCCCGGCUUGGUGUUGGACCUUUGGUUUGGAGACAAACCGGUCUCAAAGAUAGUGACGGCGCCCUGGAAGGAGCCCGUACGAGGAGCUUUUCGUUAAGCAUGUACGAGGUGUGAUUCACGGGGCGACGGUCUUUACCUAUAAAUUUAUUCUAGUGUUGACCUCGGAUCAGGUAGGAAUACCCGCUGAACUUAA